UGCCCUUUAAGCUAAAAGGUUAGUGGCUUGGUGGAGCCCCACGGUCUUCAGGAGGACUUUGAACUGAAAGCAACAUGCAGACAUGAAGAUCCGGUCCUGGAGCCUUAAUGACAUCUUCUUGCUGCCUUAAGGAGCCAGUAGCAGGACUGAAACUUCCUUCUGUGAGUCUUAACAAGAGAUGUAUCACUUGGGAGCGACACGGUGAGUUAGUCCAGGAAGAUGUCACAGGGACUGGAGGGUGACACAGUCCACGCUCCGGCUCUGUCGCCCCCGGGGUCAGAAAGUGAGCUGGCGAGCGCUCGUAGGGGGUCAGCGCACGGGUGCCACAGGGCUCCCGCGUCCUCACUGCCAGCUCUGCCCCUUUUCUGACCCGGGGACAACACAGAUCUUUUGUGCUUGUAGAACAUCUGGAAUUUAAUUCACAUGGAGAAGACACACAUUUAGGCCACAUUCAGUUUAGGGGCUUGUUGGACAGUCAGCUGCUGAGCCUCAGCUCCUCGUGGAGAAUUUGACUGAAAGUAGCGUUUAGUGCAGUUCAAAACUGCCUGAUGCCCCUCCACUUAAAUGAGUCCAGAGAAAACAGAAAAAGCACAAAGUACAGCUGAGGCCCAGGGUCAGGAGGAGAAAGGCAAUGUGUUUUUGUUCCUCUGGGCAGGGCUGUGGGUGAGCCCCUCCCUCCUCUGUGACCAGGUCCCAGUGACGCCUCCCUCGUCUGUGACCAGGUCCCGGUGACCCCUCUCUCCUCUGUGACCAGGUCCUGGUGACCCCUCCCUCCUCUGUGACCAGGUCCCGGUGACCACCUCCCUCCUCUGUGACCAGGUCUGGGUGAGCCAGCCCUCAGGCAGGGGCUGCAGCCAGGCUGGAACCUGCUUCUCCCUCAGAACCUCUUCUCGCCCUGAAGGGUGUCCAGAGGCGGGUUCGCUGCGUGGCCAGGGAAGUAUGUACUCCCAGCUUUCCCAUUCAAGUUUCCUGCUGCCUUGCAACUUAUCCGCUUGUUUUGGAAGAGAUAAACCCUCACGUUGGAAUCUAAGUCAUGGCUGCAGUAGUGAUAAUCCGAGGAGAAAAAGACUAAGGAACCUAAUUUUUACAUUGUUUUCAGGAAAGGACAGCAAACAGAUGCCUGUGGAAUCUGCUGUCCGCCAGGAAGAGAGGCCUGUUUCAAGGAGCAGGUCUAACAAAAUACGAGCCUCUCCUGCCUCUCUGAGGAAGACCCACCCGGUGGCAGGUGGUGUUGGGCACAGGCUGCCGUGUAAAUCAGAGACAAGGCGUGUGGCCGAUAGGAAGGGUCGGGUGGCCCUGCGCCUGGCACCCUCAGAUGUCCUUGUUUAG
rnacentral:lncRNA from 1 species